AGAGCCUAGUUGAAAUUAUCACAGCUUGAGCAAAGUGGCAGCAGUUACUAGUUAUCUAUGACCAUGAACACAGGGAUUGUUGCAUUCGAAAGGGAAUACGGACUCUGGCUAGAAGAGCAGAACAGGAGAGUUAGUGAGAUUCGAUCAGCACUCCAAGCUCAUAUGAGUGACAUUGAACUCAGAAUGUUAGUAGAUUCUUGC